GCCCCCGCAGGGCCGCCCCCCAGCCCCGAGGGCCGGUCGGCGCCGGCGGUGAGCGGCGGAGAAGCAGGACCGGAGCACUAGGAAGGCUCAGCUGAGGUUAGACCCUUGCCUGGUUGUAUGUAUAUAUAUAUAUGUAUACUGUGCAUACAUAUACAUACAUAGCAAGAAGACAAAGUUGCCAAGGGAAUCUCAGCAAGAAAAUCUGAAGUUUCAGGGAUGCAAAUAGAAGGAUUAAGGUGAUUUAGCCAACCUCCUGCAAGAAGUCAGCGACGGGAGCACCGGCACCUGCAGCUUGGCCACUCAGCACCCUGAACCCUGCCCCUCCAGCAGCACAGUCCUUCGGGCCCGGAGAGGCCCUCGGCGGCCGGAUCCCCCUCCACCACAGCUGUGCUAGGAGACGGGCCCUCUGCACACAUUCCGUACGUUCCUUUAUGUGCAAUACACGAUGUCACUGACUCAGUUCUAAUUUUAAAUGGCAGAUUUAGAAAACCAGGCUUUCCAACUAAGAUUUACUAUCUCUGAUCACUUACUUAACUGGCUGAAAGGAAUAAAAUCCUGAAUGGGA